UUAAGUAAAUUCUUGACAUAAGUUUCAUGCAAAUCAUAGUAACGAGUGUCUCGUCAAUGCUUAUGUUUUUCAUAGAACUUAAUGAUUCUUGCUUUGUAUCUCUAUUAUGCAUUCUUGUAGGGAACUUGUAGGGAAUGUUUUGGGUUGUCGUAUGCAAUCAUCCAACCCAAUAACUUGUGGAAAAACUGAGGGUUAAAAAAGUGCUGUUCACGGUUAAUCUGGAGUAUUGAAAUUCACAAUUUAUUGAAAGAACAACUGAAAAUCAAU
rnacentral:lncRNA from 1 species